GGAAUGUGGCUGGGCGCCCGUUGUCAGGGCGGCUGGGGCAAGGAAGUGUGUUCAAAUAGGAGUUCGUCUUCCCUCCUCUUCCUCUCCUGGCCCCUUGCCACUGGGGAGCCCACUCCUGUUGGGUCCCUAGGCCUGGCUCUGUUCUGAGGAUGUCUGUUGUCCCUGGAGGCACCUGGGGCUGCGUGUGCGGGAAGCUGCAGCCAGGGGCCGGCGUCAGGUUGAGGGAGGCGCUCUGGUGUGGGAUGCAGAUGCCGUAGCUGCCGGCUAAGCCACCAGGCUAACUGCCCACCCCACAGCUUUCCACGGUCAAGUGCCCCAUCGGCAACGCUCUGGGGUCAUUUCUCUACUGUUUUGAAAGACCUCCAGGAGGCCAGAGAAGGCCAGAGGACACUCAGCAUCCUGCCGCAUCACCGAGUUCCCCGGCCCAUUUCCUCUUCUCCACGUCCCACCAUGGCCCCCUUCCUGCCCCCUCAGAACAAAGACCCUGUUCUCCCCGUUUCCAACAGGCUUUCCUUCCUCUGUGCCGACGCCCUCCCUAAUCCUGUGCCGGGCUCAGUGUCUCCAAGGCCCGGGGGUCUCGACGCUUGGUUCUGGCUGCGGCCUCUUGC